rnacentral:rRNA from 1 species
UGGCGGCAUGCCUUACACAUGCAAGUCGAACGGUUACAGGUCUUCGGACGCUGACGAGUGGCGAACGGGUGAGUAAUACAUCGGAACGUGCCCAGUCGUGGGGGAUAACUACUCGAAAGAGUAGCUAAUACCGCAUACGAUCUGAGGAUGAAAGCGGGGGACCUUCGGGCCUCGCGCGAUUGGAGCGGCCGAUGGCAGAUUAGGUAGUUGGUGGGAUAAAAGCUUACCAAGCCGACGAUCUGUAGCUGGUCUGAGAGGACGACCAGCCACACUGGGACUGAGACACGGCCCAGACUCCUACGGGAGGCAGCAGUGGGGAAUUUUGGACAAUGGGAGAAAGCCUGAUCCAGCAAUGCCGCGUGCAGGAUGAAGGCCUUCGGGUUGUAAACUGCUUUUGUACCGAACGAAAAAGCUUCUCCUAAUACGAGAGGCCCAUGACGGUACGGUAUGAAUAAGCACCGGCUAACUACGUGCCAGCAUCCGCGGUAAUACAUAGGGUGCGAGCGUUAAUCGGAAUUACUGGGCGUAAAGCGUGCGCAGGCGGUGUAUGUAGGACAGAUGUGAAAUCCCCGGAAUUAACCUGGGAACUGCAUUUGGGACUGCAUGGCUAGAGUACGGUAGAGGGGGAUGGAAUUCCGCGUGUAGCAGUGAAAUGCGUAGAUAUGCGGAGGAACACCGAUGGCGAAGGCAAUCCCCUGGACCUGUACUGACGCUCAUGCACGAAAGCGUGGGGAGCAAACAGGAUUAGAUACCCUGGUAGUCCACGCCCUAAACGAUGUCAACUGGUUGUUGGGAAUUAGUUUUCUCAGUAACGAAGCUAACGCGUGAAGUUGACCGCCUGGGGAGUACGGCCGCAAGGUCGAAACUCAAAGGAAUUGACGGGGACCCGCACAAGCGGUGGAUGAUGUGGUUUAAUUCGAUGCAACGCGAAAAACCUUACCCACCUUUGACAUGGCAGGAAGUUUCCAGAGAUGGAUUCGUGCUCGAAAGAGAACCUGCACACAGGUGCUGCAUGGCUGUCGUCAGCUCGCGUCGUGAGAUGUUGGGUUAAGUCCCGCAACGAGCGCAACCCUUGUCAUUAGUUGCUACAUUCAGUUGGGCACUCUAAUGAGACUGCCGGUGACAAACCGGAGGAAGGUGGGGAUGACGUCAAGUCCUCAUGGCCCUUAUAGGUGGGGCUACACACGUCAUACAAUGGCUGGUACAGAGGGUUGCCAACCCGCGAGGGGGAGCUAAUCCCAUAAAACCAGUCGUAGUCCGGAUCGCAGUCUGCAACUCGACUGCGUGAAGUCGGAAUCGCUAGUAAUCGCGGAUCAGCAUGCCGCGGUGAAUACGUUCCCGGGUCUUGUACACACCGCCCGUCACACCAUGGGAGCGGGUCUCGCCAGAAGUAGGUAGCCUAACCGCAAGGAGGGCGCUUACCACGGCGGGGUUCGUGACUGG